GACGAACGCUGGCGGCGUGCUUAACACAUGCAAGUCGAGCGGUAAGGCCCUUUCGGGGGUACACGAGCGGCGAACGGGUGAGUAACACGUGGGUGACCUGCCCUCAGCUCUGGGAUAAGCCUGGGAAACCGGGUCUAAUACCGGAUAUGACUCCAUGACGCAUGUUGUGGGGUGGAAAGCCUUGUGCGGCUGAGGAUGGGCUCGCGGCCUAUCAGCUUGUUGGUGGGGUGANGGCCUACCAAGGCGACGACGGGUGGCCGGCCUGAGAGGGCGACCGGCCACACUGGGACUGAGACACGGCCCAGACUCCUACGGGAGGCAGCAGUGGGGAAUCUUGCGCAAUGGGCGAAAGCCUGACGCAGCGACG
rnacentral:rRNA from 1 species